rnacentral:rRNA from 1 species
UGAGUACGAGAUGCUACGGCAUCGAAGCAGUCUAUGUCAUACUUCCAAGAAAAGCUUGCACUGUCAUAAACAAAGAAUGCCUGUACCAUAACCGACACAGGUGGGUAGGUAGAGUAUACUAAGGGGCGCGAGAUAACUCUCUCUAAGGAACUCGGCAAAAUGACUCCGUAACUUCGGGAGAAGGAGUGCCUUAUUUAUAAGGUUGCAAUAACAAGAUCCAAGCAACUGUUUACCAAAAACACAGGUCUCCGCGAAGUCGUAAGACGAUGUAUGGGGGCUGACGCCUGCCCAGUGCCAGAAGGUUAAAGAGGUUGGUUAGCAUUCGCGAAGCUGAUAACUGAAGCCCUGGUGAACGGCGGCCGUAACAAUAACGGUCCUAAGGUAGCGAAAUUCCUUGUCGGGUAAGUUCCGACCCGCACGAAAGGCGUAACGAUUUGGAUACUGUCUCGGAGAGGGGCUCGGUGAAAUAGACUUGUCUGUGAAGAUGCGGACUACCUGCACCUGGACAGAAAGACCCUAUGAAGCUUUACUGUAACUUGAAAUUGAAAUUGGACUUUAUUUGCGCAGUAUAGGUGGGAGGCGUUGAGAAUAACCUUGCGGGGGUUAUUGGAGCCAUCAGUGAGAUACCACUCUUGUAAUGUUAGAUUUCUAACUUUGUAUCACUAUCUGGUCAAAGAACAGUUUCAGGCGGGCAGUUUGACUGGGGCGGUCGCCUCCCAAACGGUAACGGAGGCGCACAAAGGUUUCCUCUGAACGGGUAGAAAACGUAUCUAGAGUGUAAAGGCAUAAGGAAGCUUGACUGUGAGACCUACAAGUCGAGCAGGGACGAAAGUCGGUCUUAGUGAUCUGACGGUGCUGAGUGGAAAGGCCGUCACUCAACGGAUAAAAGUUACUCUAGGAUAACAGGCUGAUCUCCCCCAAGAGUUCACAUCGACGGGGAGGUUUAGCACCUCGAUGUCGGCUCAUCGCAUCCUGGGGCGGUAGUACGUCCCAAGGGUUGGGCUGUUCGCCCAUGAAAGCGGUACGCGAGCUGGGUUCAGAACGUCGUGAGACAGUUCGGUCCAUAUCCGGUGUAGGCGUUAGAAUAUUGAGAGGAGCCUUCUCUAGUACGAGAGGACCGAGAAGGACAUACCUCUGGUGUACCAGUUAUCGUGCCAACGGUAAACGCUGGGUAGCUAUGUGUGGAGUGGAUAACCGCUGAAAGCAUCUAAGUGGGAAGCCCACCUCAAGAUAAGUAUUCUCA